UUUUCAAGUGCCGUGCCUGAAACACAGCUGGAACGUGCAGUGCAAUGCAAGAAGCAUAGCAGCCAUCUUGUGACCAUCAGUUUUAAUGUGUCAAGGAUGAGGGAGUCAGAAAAUAGAAGAAGCCUUGUCCCUGACACUGUGGAGUUGCUAUGUCAGGCAUUGACUUCCUGUCCCACCUCACAUAGUGUGUGAGAUCAACUCUUGGAGUAAGCCACCUGCUAUAGUUUGGUGAAAGUGAGACAACAAGAAACUCACCCAAGGCCACAUAUCCAGUUUAUGGAAGAACUCGGCUUUACACUCAGUCUUGCCUGGAUCCCAAUAUAUGUUACACCAAACCUUGAUGUUGCAUAAGAACCAAGAUGCAUGAAUGAUUCAGGUUAAGAGAGAUUCUUUAGAACUUACUAAUGCUUGGCAUGAGGUCUUUGAUUAAAUAUUGAUAUCAACAACCAUAAAUUUCAACGACUUCUACUAACUCUUUGGCUUUGAUUAUCUAUCACUGGGCAUUACGUGGAAGCCCAACAGAUGCUGUCUCUCACUUCAAGGCAAACUUCAAGCUUCCAGAUGCAUUUGCAUUGGCCUGGGAAUCCCUCGUGCACUCAAAGACAUGAGGGAGCAGGAACCAAGCCAGAGAACGUCACUCAGCUGCUGCAGUUGAAAGAAUCACUUCUGAGGACAAGUUCAAACCAUUACUUCUCCACUUCAGAGCACCCAAAGUAUACAGUUUAGACUAUUUUAAUUGCAUGACUUUAUCACACUUUGUUUUAAAGGGUUUCUCAUGCCUUGUGACAUUCCUGGCUUAAACUGUAAAGUCCUUGAGAGCAGAAACCAAGACACUCAUAGAGCCCACCCAUUGCCUGGCAUUGAGCUGCAUAAGUGUGGGGUGAAUAAGAACCCAAUGGUGAUAGCUUCUGCCUGUGGAGUGCCCCCUGUGACAGGGGACUGCAUAUCUGAGCCCACUUUCAUCACCACAACAACCUGCAAGGGAGGAAUUAUUAACCUUGUUGUACAGCAAUAUAUAAAACUCUUCUGGUCCCCACACACAAGGAGGCAGGCCUCAUCCCAUCUAUCAUCCAUCACCCAGGAUGGGGGCACUCACGGAAAAGCACCAUGAGGAAGCGGGUCUGGUUCAGCAUCUGGGUCAGGCCAGCGGGCGUUAGCACUAGGAGACUGCGUUCCUCCAGGAUGUGCACAGGCUUGGUUAUGUGGAUGCUGGAAACACCGGCGUUAACCUCUGGUGAGCUGUGGACAGCAGAGACACAAGCGGCCACCAGCAGCAGGGGCAUCCAGAGUAGGUCCAUGGCUGUCCUGCAGGGGCCGGAGAAGGAACAGAGACCUUAUCAACACAGGUGGUGGAGCCCCACGUCAUCACCCCCACUUCCUUGUCCAGCUGGUCCAUGUAGGGUGAAUGUGGCCUGAGCAUUGCCUCCCAGCAAUGCCUGCAGCUUGGCAGCAGCCCUGGAGAAGAAGCAAAGUAUUAGGUCGACCUCAGGCCCAGUAGUGACUGUAUGGGGAAAGCUUAAAGCAGCAAGAACCCACUGGGAGCAGCUGGAUGCUGAAGCAAACGCAGACCACUCAAGCCCACUGACUUCCCAGCCACGAGGUGAGACUUGUGCAAAGAUAAGGUCCCAUUUCAGAGUCCUAGGGUGAGCCUCUGGAUCUCAGAGAUAACUGGUUCAAUCCCCCAUCA
rnacentral:lncRNA from 1 species